rnacentral:rRNA from 1 species
CCCUUAGAUGUCCUGGGCUGCACGCGCGCUACACUGAUGUGUCCAGUAAGCACCUAACCUCUUCCGAAAGGAACGGGUAACCUUUGCAAAGCACAUCGUGAUGGGGAUAGAUUAUUGCAAUUAUUAGUCUUGAACGAGGAAUUCCUAGUAAGCACAAGUCAUCAGCUUGUGUUGAUUACGUCCCGGCCCUUUGUACACACCGCCCGUCGCUCCUACCGAUUGAAUGUUCCGGUGAGCUCUUCGGACUGCGCGGUCUGCAGUUUCUGCGUUCCGUGCGGAAAGUUGCGCAAACCUUAACAUUUAGAGGAAGGAGAAGUCGUAACA